UACCUGGUUGAUCCUGCCAGUAGUCAUAUGCUUGUCUCAAAGAUUAAGCCAUGCAAGUCUAAGUACGAGCUCUCGUACAGUGAAACUGCGAAUGGCUCAUUAAAUCAGUUAUGGUUCAUUUGAUCGUACAGUUUACUUGGAUAACUGUGGUAAUUCUAGAGCUAAUACAUGCGAGAAGCGCCGACCUCGCGGGAGGCGUGCAUUUAUCAGACCAAAAACCGGCCGCGUCUUCGGGCGCGUUCGCCUUGGUGACUCUGGAUAACUUUGCGGAUCGCACGGUCUAGCACCGGCGACGGAUCAUUCAAGUGUCUGCCCCUAUCACUUUCGUCG
rnacentral:ncRNA from 1 species